CCCCCGCGCAAGGCCCGCCCAGUCUCCACCUCCGCCGAGAUAACUCCCAGAAGCCUCUGCGAGACGCCAGGGCCUCGAAAUAGAACAAAACCGGCAGGUGGGGGAGGGGGGAAACGAGGGUUUCGGAGGGCAGAAGCAACGUACAACUCCUGGCGAAUGCCUAAGGCUCGGGCGGGCCUCCCGCUGACCCCUUCCCGCCCCUCAACUGCUAGGCGCGGAGACCAUGGCCCUUUCUCCGCGCCUCUUGUGAAGCUGAGAAAGGUUCCCGCCAGCUUCCUCGCCGGUUUCUGCUAAAAGGUCCGCAGACCGUAGCCCGGCGUCCCCCUCCUCCUCAUACCCUUCCCUCAACUCGCGCAAACCUCUGGCUCAGGAACCGCAGCAGCUUCGCUGUCCAAGGCAGACGCAGAAACACCGCUUACAAGCCGUUUCCCAGAAGCCCCCGGAAUGGACUCCUUCCGGUCUGCAGGCCCGAGGAGGCGGAGAGAGGCAAAGCCCCGCGUUGCCAUGGAGAUGCACUCCAGGAUUGUGGACUUUAUUCUUCAAAAUAUAGGAGACAAGAACCCAGAGGAAAUUGGCCAAGUGGGAAACAGUCUCAUCUCAAAACUCCAGUUUAAGGUCGCAGUGAAUUUGCAGAAUGCGUGAGCAUCUGACUUCAGCCUGGGUAUUUUGUGCCAAAAAACAAUUGUAGACAUAAUCAUUUAAAAAUGUAAGUCAGAACACUUCAUUUCCCUUUAAAGCCCUCCAAUGGAUCUCAGCUACCUUAAAUAUAACAUAAAAACUCCUAACAUUGA